rnacentral:rRNA from 1 species
UGUGUAGGCGGUUGUUUAAGUUUGGUGUGAAAUCUCCCGGCUCAACUGGGAGGGUGCGCCGAAUACUGAAUGACUAGAGUGCGGGAGAGGAGAGUGGAAUUCCUGGUGUAGCGGUGAAAUGCGUAGAUAUCAGGAGGAACACCGGUGGUGUAGACGGCUCUCUGGACCGUAACUGACGCUGAGACACGAAAGCGUGGGUAGCAAACAGGAUUAGAUACCCUGGUAGUCCACGCCCUAAACGAUGCAUAUUUGGUGUGGGCAGUUCAGUCUGUCCGUGCCGGAGCUAACGCGUUAAAUAUGCCGCCUGGGGAGUACAGUCGCAAGGCUGAA